UUCAAAUCAAACAAUUUUCCACGAUUAGAAAGUGUAAACACCAACACACGAGUUACUCAAACCAGAAGCUUAUCAAAUGAGAAACUAAACUAGUACCUACCAACCUUUCCAGUACGAAUUGUGUUUCUUGCAAUCCCACACUGCAUCAAGAACUAUACGGUGUAACGAUUCUUGGCAUUUCUGUCGAGCCUCUUUGCAUCGUCGUGAAAUAUGAAGCCAACCGAAUCACUGUAAUCUAGAAACUGCUUCCAUUGCUUACCAAUGCUAACCUGAGCUGUUUCAUUUGCAGCAUUCUUGGUCCACAAAGCUAUUUUUUCUCCCUUAGCCCGGACACUAACAACUGCUCCACAAAUUUCAUCUCCAUGAUCGAAUUGAUGUCCAAUCAUUGCCAGCAGCGUAUACAGCCAGCUGGUAUCAGAUUUACCCUUCGAAAAACUCAUUUUCCACGUCCCUCCAUUGGCACAUACAGGAU
rnacentral:misc_RNA from 1 species